CUGGGUUUAUCUCUCCAGUUGAUCUGUAGCAAACUAGGUGUAUCUUUAAAGUGUGGCUGUAGCUGGGUUUAUCUCUCCAGUUGAUCUGUAGCAAACUAGGUGUAUCUUUAAAGUGUGGCUGUAGCUGGGUUUAUCUCUCGAGUUGAACUUUGGCAAACUAGGUGUAUUCUUUUAGUGUGGCUGUAGCUGGGUUUAUCUCUCGAUUUGAACUUUGGCAAACUAGGUGUAUUCUUUUAGUGUGGCUGUAGCUGGGUUUAUCUCUCCAGUUGAUCUGUAGCAAACUAGGCAUAUCUUUUCAGUGUGGCUGUAGCUGGGUUUAUCUCUCGAGAUGAACUUUGGCAAACUAGGUGUAUUCUUUUAGUGUGGCUGUAUCUGGGUUUAUCUCUCCAGUUGAUCUGUGGCAAACUAGGUGUAUCUUUUCAGUGUGACAGAGUGGCUUUAGCUAGGUUAAUCUCUCAGUUUAUCUGUAGCAAACUAGAUCUAUCUUUUAAGUGUGGCUUUAAUUAGAUUUAUCUCUCCAGUC
rnacentral:sRNA from 1 species